rnacentral:rRNA from 1 species
GUCUACAGUCAUACCAGCCUGAACACACCUGAUCUCCUCUGAUCUCAGAAGAAAGACCAGCCUUACUGCACAGCUCUGGCUUAUGGGUGGUGCUGGGGAUU